rnacentral:rRNA from 1 species
AUGGCGGGCCUAGGCGGCGCCGGCGGCUGGGGCGGCUUGGACGACGAUGACUGGGGCCUAAGCGAGGAGCAGUACGCCAAGCUCGAGCAGGACGCCUACCGCGCGAUUGCGGAGCGCAAGGCCUCCUCUUCCGCCGCCUCCACCGCCCCCGCAAUCUCGCCGCUCCCCCACCGCGCCCUAUCGCCGGCGGCCACGGUCUCUUCGCCGCUCAGGAACGAGCACCCCGCCUCCAGGGUCUCCCUGGAGUCUCGCUUCGGCAAGGUAGAAUCACUUUCACCUUCUCGGCUUAGUCAACCAAACGCAGGGAAUCAUAGUCAGGGCAGUUGGCCUAAGAUAUCUAUACAUCUUUUCCUUCAUUCUAGUGGUGUGAUUGCAGCGAAGUUCCCUUAUAACCAGAAACUCGUGGGUGCAUUUCACAAGAUCCCGAAAGCUAGCUGGAAUGGAAAAGAAAGGGUGUGGAUGUUCCCUCCGACAUCUUUAUCAAUAGCGGAGGAAGUUCUUCAUGCCGUACCUGGAUUAGUUGUUGAGGUUCAAAAAUUGGACCCGUUAGUUCAGCGGGCUUUUGCUGCUGCUGUAGCUGCCAAAGAUCUUCGAGGUUUGUAUGACAAGAUUCCAACGGAUGUCGAGUCGAAGCUUAUGCCCUUUCAGCGUGACGGAGUCAGGUUCGCUUUGCAACAUGGGGGCAGAGUGCUGAUAGCAGAUGAAAUGGGUCUUGGAAAGACAUUGCAGGCAAUUGCUGUUGCUUCUUGCCUUCAUGAUGCCUGGCCAGUUCUUGUUAUCUCUCCAUCUUCAUUGCGAUUACAUUGGGCUUCUAUGAUUCAGCAGUGGCUCAACAUCCCUACGGAAGAUAUCCUGGUGGUGUUACCACAAACUGGAGGAUCAAAUAAGGCAGGAUUCAGAUUGGUAUAUUCAAACACCAAAGGAGAUUUUCACUUGGAUGGGGUGUUCAAUGUCAUAUCUUAUGAUGUAGUUCCCAAGAUACAAAGCACACUUCUGGACUUGGAUUUUAAGAUAAUUAUAGCUGAUGAGUCACACUUCCUGAAGAAUGGCCAAGCGAAGAGAACAAUCGCUUCACUUCCUGUUCUGCAGAAAGCUCAAUUUGUGGUUUUGCUAAGUGGAACGCCUGCCUUAUCUCGCCCCAUCGAGUUGUUUACUCAGCUCCAGGCUUUAUAUCCUACUGUCUACAAUAAUGUAAAUGAGUAUGGCAAUAGAUACUGCAAAGGUGGAUAUUUUGGGUUAUAUCAAGGCGCUAGCAAUCAUGAGGAGCUGCAUAAUUUGAUGAAAGCAACCGUCAUGAUCCGCAGGUUGAAGAAAGAUGUUCUUUCAGAGUUGCCUGUUAAGCGUAGGCAACAGGUCUUUCUAGACUUAAGUGAGAAAGAGAUGAAACAUAUCCGCGCUCUUUUUCGUGAGUUGGAGACUGUCAAGAUCAAAAUGCAGUCAUGUGACUCACAGGAGAUGAUUGACUCUCUGAAAUUUAAUCAAAAGAAUAUUAUCAAUAAGAUCUAUAAUGAUUCGGCUGAAGCCAAAAUUCCAGCAGUGCUUGAUUACCUGGCCACUGUAAUUGAGGCUGACUGCAAAUUCUUAAUAUUUGCACACCAUCAACCCAUGAUUGAUGCUAUUCACCAACAUCUCUUGAAAAAGAAAGUCAAAUGUAUAAGAAUUGAUGGCCAAACACCUGUAGUUGUAAGGCAAAAUUUGGUCAUGGAUUUCCAGAACAAGGAUGACAUCAAGGCAGCAGUGUUAUCCAUCAAAGCUGGAGGUGUGGGGCUAACUUUGACAGCAGCAAGUACAGUUAUCUUUGCUGAGUUAUCAUGGACUCCAGGUGACAUUAUUCAAGCAGAGGAUCGUGCCCACCGGAUUGGUCAGGUUUCUUCAGUGAACAUAUAUUACCUUCUCGCAAACGACACAGUAGAUGAUAUUAUAUGGGAUGUUGUUCAAGGCAAACUUGAGAAUUUGGGGCAGAUGCUGGACGGGCAGGAGAAAACGCUGAAUGUCUCGCAGAGUGAAACAAGACCAAGCCCCUCGAAGCAGAAGACGCUUGACACCUACCUCAAGCGGUGCAGCACUUCCACGGAAACCCAGCCCAGCCCGAAAAGCCGCAGGUUUUGA